AGGGUUGUGGCUCAUUGGUAGAGCAUAUGCCUGGCAUGUGUAAAGCACUAUGUUCAAUUCUCAGCACUG
rnacentral:tRNA from 1 species